UACGUAGGGCGCAAGCGUUGUCCGGAAUUAUUGGGCGUAAAGAGCUACGUAGGCGGUCUGUCGCGUCGGAUGUGAAAGCCCGGGGCUUAACCCCGGGUCUGCAUUCGAUACGGGCAGACGUAGAGUGUGGUAGGGGAGAUCGGAAUUCCUGGUGUAGCGGUGAAAUGCGCAGAUAUCAGGAGGAACACCGGUGGCGAAGGCGGAUCUCUGGGCCAUUACUGACGCUGAGGAGCGAAAGCGUGGGGAGCGAUCCGG
rnacentral:rRNA from 1 species